rnacentral:rRNA from 1 species
AUACGGAGGAUGCGAGCGUUAUCCGGAUUUAUUGGGUUUAAAGGGUGCGUAGGCCGAUCGAUAAGUCAGCGGUGAAAUACCAUGGCCCAACCAUGGAACUGCCGUUGAUACUGUCGGUCUUGAAUAUGGUCAAGGUAGGCGGAAUGUGUAAUGUAGCGGUGAAAUGCUUAGAUAUUACACAGAACACCGAUUGCGAAGGCAGCUUACUGGUCCAUUAUUGACGCUGAGGCACGAAAGCGUGGGGAUCGAACAGGAUUAGAUACCCUGGUAGUCCACGCCGUAAACGAUGAUCACUCGCUGUUGGCGAUACACAGUCAGCGGCUAAGCGAAAGCAUUAAGUGAUCCACCUGGGGAGUACGGCCGCAAGGCUGAA